rnacentral:rRNA from 1 species
UGGCUCAGAUUGAACGCUGGCGGCAGGCCUAACACAUGCAAGUCGAGCGGUAGCACAGAAGAGCUUGCUCUUUGGGUGACGAGCGGCGGACGGGUGAGUAAUGUCUGGGAAACUGCCUGAUGGAGGGGGAUAACUACUGGAAACGGUAGCUAAUACCGCAUGACGUCGCAAGACCAAAGUGGGGGACCUUCGGGCCUCACGCCAUCGGAUGUGCCCAGAUGGGAUUAGCCAGUAGGUGAGGUAAUGGCUCACCUAGGCGACGAUCCCUAGCUGGUCUGAGAGGAUGACCAGCCACACUGGAACUGAGACACGGUCCAGACUCCUACGGGAGGCAGCAGUGGGGAAUAUUGCACAAUGGGCGCAAGCCUGAUGCAGCCAUGCCGCGUGUGUGAAGAAGGCCUUAGGGUUGUAAAGCACUUUCAGCGAGGAGGAAGGCGUUGCAGUUAAUAGCUGCAGCGAUUGACGUUACUCGCAGAAGAAGCACCGGCUAACUCCGUGCCAGCAGCCGCGGUAAUACGGAGGGUGCAAGCGUUAAUCGGAAUUACUGGGCGUAAAGCGCACGCAGGCGGUUUGUUAAGUC